UUUCUUUCUCUGUCUCCUGGAAAUUACAGAGGUAGGAGAAAUUCUGUUCCUCCAUUUCCGUUAAAAUAGACAGCAGUUGUUGGGGGUCAGUAAAAUACAGCUCAGGCUCCUGGAACAGAAAAUGUGUGAUAUUUAUAAAUAACUGCUUGUGUAGUGUUGCAGUAAGGCUAUAAGCAAGGUAAGGGCCUGUGCUGAUCCCAGCUGUUCUUUCUCUGCCCAUGUAAACAUAACUAUGUAAACCUGGAGGCUUUGUCCUCAGCUCAUCCUUGUUCUGCUGCUUUGAUUUGAAGAAGGUGCCCUAAAGCUUGCAUAUGUUAUUUAACAGCAUUGGUCAGUAUUGAAAAAAGUAUUUUUCUACAGAAAUGUUGCCUAAAUAACAUGUAAUUUGUAGCUCACUCUCAGAAAGAGAUGUUUCCAUGGUUUUUGGAACGUAGAAACCGUUCAAUAUCAAAAUAAAAUGUUUUUGUGACCCUUUUCUCUCUGUUCCAGAUGAAAAUAUAAAUCUGGGUGAGAGGAACGAGGGAAAUGCCCUCUGGUGCCUUUGCUUACUGGAGUUAUUUGUGGCUUUCCCCCAGCAGGACAGUCAGGCACGGCCCCCAAACACUGCUAUGUGACCCCAAUUAAAUGUGCUUACUUAGGGGAUAUUACUGAGCAGACCCUGGCCUAGUUUAAAGAAGUUCUGUCAUGCAGCAGAAUGGCUCACUGGUUUCUUAUGGCAGUGGCUGUGGGUGCUGAAAGAACACUUACUGAAGCUUUUGGGAGCCUGUCUUAUCUGAUCAUGGGCGGAAGACUAUGAACACAGACCUCUCUGACCAAAGAACAGAAAGCUGCUGGAGCAUCGUGACCUUACCUGACACAAGUCUUAUCUUUACAGGAAACUCCCUGUGUACCUAGGAUACUGCACAGGUCACUGAGCAGCCAUCUCCCCAUUGCCUGAAGUCUUCUCAAGGAGACUCAUUUGUUUAAGUUUUUCCACUUGGAUUUCUUCAAAGUGUGCCCUGAUACACACCACACAAAGGGAACAACCUAACUAACAGCAAGUGGCACAGAAACACCACAUGGAUUGGUGGUUAUUUUCUUUCUCUGGAGCUUUUGUUUUUCUUUUCCUGCUGAACAAUGCAUCUGCAGAACCCAGCGCAUCCCAAGAGGAAGAAAGGCAAAUCAGAGCCAGUUUCCAGGGUAGCACUCAAGGCAGAAGGAAGGGAUUGAGAUCCAUAGCACAUACAGUGUAAGUGCUCUACUGGAGGUGGCCAGCUCUGUCUGACUGUGGUCUGCCAACAGCACUGCUGCUUUCCCUUCAUCUGAAGCUUUCUUCAAGGAGGGAUUUUAUCUCAAGGUGAGUUUUCCAGCCACGAGGAGCACCAAGAAAAGCCUCUGGCUCUUGAAGGAGGAAUACCCCCAGAGACGGCUCUGCAAGAAGAGCUGCCAGCUCAGCUCUCCUCUUGGCAAACAGGCUGGUGGAGCAGGACUUAUUCAGGUCAUCCUGCCACUGGUCCUUACUCCCAGUGUCUUCCUGGGCUACCUCACCCAACAUGAAGACCAAAAGGCCUUCAGUGGUCCUUCCCAAAUGGUGUUGCUUUGUGGUUCAGCCAUCUCCAGCCAUGUUUGUGUGAGGCUCUGCUAGCUCCUGAUUCCAGGUCCAACCUCCUGCUCCAAGCAGGGCUAACUCAGGCUGCACGAGGCCUUUCCCAGCUGAUUUGAAAACCUCUGAGGAUGCAGAUUUCAGAUGUUCUCCAAAUUGCAGAAGGUAAGGUCUAGGAGGCUGAGCUUGGGCCCCUGAAUGGCCCCACUGCCUUGCUUUGGUAAUGAUAUAAGUAAACGAUAUUGUUACAAUUUCAAGGCCAGUUCUGAAGAACUGUUUAGCCCUAAUCCCAAAUCGAAAAAUAGUUCCAGCUUUCCCUCAAAGCUAAGUACAUUUGGGGCCUAGGAGUUUGCAUUUGGCCCACUGUAAAGAGAGUCACAGUGAGCUGAAGCCAAAGAGACUUGCCUAACCAAGGCUAUAAAUUCUUGCUAUUUGCAGGGACAAUUGACCCAGGAACACGAGGUUGCAACUCCGUGAUUUUACAUUAAGCUCUUAAGGCACCAUUCCAGCCGUUUUCCUGGCGCUUGCUUUGUGGCAAAACUACAGCUGCUGUGACUGCAUGGGAACCCAUCCAGCUGAAAAAUACCCUGCCCGAGGAAAAGAUCCUUUUAUUUUGCUCACCAUGAUGGGCUGAGGAAGAGACGCAUGGGAUGGUGGGAUUGCUUCUGUCAGUGCCAGUCUGUGCUCAGGGAGAUGGUGAAGCUGC